AAACAUAUACGCUCUCUCCGUAAGUUUGGAGUCGUCGUGUUGCGCGCAAACUAACAGACUAAAACACAUGAUCGCAGCUUGUGAGGAUCUGGGUCCUAAGGAAACUGGGCUUUUGGACUGACUGCUACGACUGAAAGGAUUAGGAGACCUACUUAUUCCCUGGGUUAAGGUACAGCAGGAGUUAAUUGGAAUGAAUUAAUUG